rnacentral:rRNA from 1 species
AUUGAACGCUGGCGGCAUGCUUUACACAUGCAAGUUGAACGGUAACAGGGAGCUUGCUCCGCUGACGAGUGGCGAACGGGUGAGCAAUGCGUCGGAACGUGCCGAGUAGUGGGGGAUAACGCAGCGAAAGUUGUGCUAAUACCGCAUACGUACUGAGGUAGAAAGUGGGGGACCUUCGGGCCUCACGCUAUUCGAGCGGCCGACGUCUGAUUAGCUAGUAGGUGAGGUAAAGGCUCACCUAGGCGACGAUCAGUAGCGGGUCUGAGAGGAUGAUCCGCCACACUGGGACUGAGACACGGCCCAGACUCCUACGGGAGGCAGCAGUGGGGAAUUUUGGACAAUGGGCGAAAGCCUGAUCCAGCCAUGCCGCGUGUCUGAAGAAGGCCUUCGGGUUGUAAAGGACUUUUGUCGGGGAGGAAAUCCCCAGCGUUAAUACCGCUGGGGGAUGACAGUACCUGAAGAAUAAGCACCGGCUAACUACGUGCCAGCCGCCGCCGUAAUAC